rnacentral:lncRNA from 1 species
CUUUUCUGGCCCGUUUGAAACCUGCAGUUCCUCUCCAAAUUAGGUGGCAAGAACAGGUAAAUGUGAGGCUUGCUGUGUACUCCUCCUGCCCAAGGUUGCAGUUGCAGUUCUCUGUUAUGGAAUCAUGGAGGGAUUUUAAAACUCAUUCUGUUCCAACCCCUCUGGUGUGGACACUUCUCACUGGACCAGGCUGCUCAAAGCUCCAGCCAGACUUUUUGUAGCUUUUUGAUAUCAGCAUGGGCUGCUUCCUGUAUUUCCCAGCACUGCCCUAUCCUUAACUUCAGGAGCACUCACCUACCCUAGCUACAAGAUGAGCUGAAGAGACAGAAGGAAGCAGGGAAGGGCUGUGUGCUGAGCACUGGGGAGGAUCUUGUUGGUGAAAGGAGUCUGCACAUCCUCUUGGUGCACUGCCUUUCUGAUGAUGGGAUGAAUAUCCUGAUGUCCUCACCCAGCACACUCCAGCAGAGUGUCUGAGAUCAUGAGCAGAACCUGAAGGAGCUGACAAUUUGAAUCUUGAGGAUCUCUAAUUGUUAAUAAAAAGAGACUCUUGGAAAGCACCUGUUAACAACGAUGGGCUGAACUUUGCUGCCAUGUUAUUUUCAGUCAGAGCCCUGGGACAAGGGAGUGGAGUGAGCCACUACCCUGGGCAUGCUCUCUGCAAGCAGGUUUUACAGCUGGCUUAAGUAUUUUGGGAAGAGAGUAGAAAAGAAUAAGCAGAGAACAGCCAGCUGGAAGUUUUCAGACAAGAUCUGGGGAACUUCAAAAGGAAGUUGAUGCAAAUAUCACAGCAACAUGAAAAUGCUGCAGGAAUCUCUUGUGCUUGCUUAAAGUGCUCUCUGUUUCCAGUGAUCUGCUCC